UAUAGCUCAGUGGUAGAGCUCUUACCUACUACUUAUGAGACCUGGGCUCAAUACCCAGUA
rnacentral:tRNA from 1 species